rnacentral:rRNA from 1 species
UACAUAUGGGGCAAGCGUUGUUCGGAAUUACUGGGCAUAAAGGGUGCGUAGGUGGUCUAUUAAGUCAGGGGUGAAAUCCCGCGGCCCAACCGUGGAACGGCCUUUGAUACUGAUGGACUUGAGUGCGUGAGGGGUAGGGGGAACGAGCAGUGUAGCGGUGAAAUGCGUAGAUAUCAGGAGGAACACCGGUGGUGUAGACGGCUAUCUGGACCGUAACUGACGCUGAGGCACGAAAGCGUGGGUAGCAAACAGG